UACCAGCACCCCGAGUGGUCGGGACGUUAUUGGGCCUAAAGCAUCCGUAGCCGGUUCUACAAGUCUUCCGUUAAAUCCAGCUGCUUAACAGAUGGGCUGCGGAGGAUACUAUAAGACUAGGAGGCAGGAGAGGCAAGCGGUACUCAGUGGGUAGGGGUAAAAUCCGUUGAUCCAUUGAAGACCACCGGUGGCGAAGGCGGUUCUCUGGGCCUUACCUGACGCUGAGGAGCGAAAGCGUGGGGAGCGAACAGG
rnacentral:rRNA from 1 species